rnacentral:misc_RNA from 1 species
UAGAUCGACGAAAAAAUAGUCAAGUAACUACGCGUUAUCAAAGAUUACUCAAAAAGUAAUCUCGAUAAAAUUUAUAUGUAACCACAUGAUAAACAUCACCUUUUGAUUAAAUUAAAAAUUAUCAAAAUCGGUACACCCAGUAAAAAGUUAUUGCGAAUUUUCGAGAGUUUCCCUCGAUUUCUCUAGGAUUCCAUCAUCAGAUCCUGGUUUCCUUAUCAUGGUACUAAACUAGGGAUAUCCCCUUUCCAACAAAAAAAGAAUUAUCAAAAUCGGUACAUUCAGUAAAAAGUUAUGCGGUAUAAUACAACGUAGGUCGACGAAAAAAGCGUCAAGUAAAAACGCAUUAUUAGAUAUAACUCGAAAA